UCGAGUAGCUGUUAAAAUCACACACAAAAAUAACUAGUUUCUAGUGCCUUGGGGACGCUUUUCUUACUUGGCAAGCAUCCUCUUGUCCAGAAGCUAAUGCACUUCCCAGUGAAAUAGCGGAAUUGGGUGGAAACCACUAUCGCUGGUGUUUGUGGGAGGAGCCCAGGCGCCUGGGAUGUGAUAACAGGCUUCUGUGUGAUCUUUGCUUGUGCAAACUCUAUAACUUAUUACCGCCAUUGGACUCAAUGGCAUUUAAAGGAUUAUCAGAGGAGUUUAUUUACGCAAUUCACCCUUAAUAGUUAUCGCGCUUUCCGAUGAGGAAAUUCACCGUACGUAAACGAUACUCUCAGUGUCCCACGGACCCCUUUGCAGGACUGGAAUCAUGGAAACGUGUUUUUUGAAUCACGUCCCUUAGUUUCUCACUGGUGGUGGCCUUCUUGGUGGUGCCGAGCACCCUCGAGGCACGGACCUACACCACCACUGACAAGGGUGCAGAAGGGAUAACGUUAACGGGUGGAUCUUAUUCCACCGGCAGUGGCACGCAGGAACAAGAAGGCGACACGGCGCAGAGUUUGAAGACCGCGGCGUCAUCUGCACCCGCAGUAACGCGUUCACUGCACACUGAGACCAGCACGUUACACAGGCGCUCCUGUUGGAGGCAGACGGCUGGGAACUUUGACACCGAGCAGACCGAAGCGUCCACAGUAACGGGCAGGAACUUGUUGGACGAAAGCACCCUCGACUCCACGGAGCUGCCGCGGUCCACUGAGCUGACGGAGGCCACGGCCGUCCCCAGCCUCACGGACUGGGAGGAUCUCCCCACGCCGGGCCAGCUGUGGGACAUCUCGUCCCCUUCCACCCUCUCGCUCAAGUCCGCUCCUUGGACGGCGACAGAGGGAAGAGGCAGCCCGUCGCUCCGGCCUGGCCCCGAGAGCAGCCAGGGGUGGGCCCUGGCAGAGACCACUCCACUGGGGGCCCCAGAGCACACCGACAGCACCUACAUCUCCACCACUCUCAGCCGAGCAGGGGAGAGGACCCUGCUCUCCGUCACCUCCACCUCCUCCUCUUCCUCUUCUUCCUUAUCGUCCUCGUCCUCUUCCUCUUCUUCCUUAUCAUCCUCGUCCUCUUCCUCUUCUUCCUUAUCAUCCUCCUCCUCGUCCUCUUCCUCUUCUUCCUUAUCAUCCUCCUCCUCGUCCUCUUCCUCUUCUUCCUUAUCAUCCUCCUCCUCGUCCUCUUUCUCUUCUUCCUUAUCAUCCUCCUCCUCAUCCUCCUCCUCUUCGUCCGCUUUCAGCAACAGCAGCUCCACCUCUGGUUUUACUGAGACGGGCAGCUACGGCUCCGAACGGUCCCUCUCCACACAGGCUCUCGGGGACAUCGUGUCCACUGAGGUCUCUACAGGGAAGGCCCCGUCGACCAGGGCUGACAACCGGGACAGCACUGUAAAAGUAGUUCUCCAUCAUCACACAAGCUCCCAGAGAGAGGAGCAUUACGGGACGGGUAGCCUGGAGCCACUCAGGGUAACCGAGCCCUUGACCGAGCCACCAAACCCCACGCAUCAUCAGCAUCAGCCCUCGUCCAUCUCCGAAGAGACGUCAAGCUCCGCCCCCCCGCAUAGCCAGACGGGGACGGACGUCUAUGGGACGUCCGCAACCGAGCGACCGGAAAGAGUUUCGGCGGUGGUUUCUCCCUCAGAAGCGGGAGACUCGGAGGCCAGCAGCCCCGGCAGCAAGAGCUCGUGGACCGAGACGGAGCGCGGCAGUGACUCAGGGUUUAGCUCCAGCGCCACCAGCGUCGAUGUCUCCACGGACAACCGGAGCCAGACCGGGGUCGUGUCUCAGACGGCAGAGGACCAAAGCACAGCGUUGGGUUUGACAACAGCGCCCCCUACAGUUGGAGCUAGCACAGCUGCCCAGGAUGACUCUUCGACCAGGUUUUUGUCGAGGCAGUCGCCCUUUACAACCCGGACAGACGGCGCAAGCAUUGGUGUUGAGGUUUUCACCACCAUGCCUACUUUUGUUACUCACAGGUACUCACCCAGCUGUUUUUCACCCAUAAUGCAUGCAACAUUCAUUAUGGGUACAUUUCAUUUACCUAUGAUCUGUGGUGGCCAAGCCUAG
ensembl:lncRNA